GAUGAACGCUGGCGGCGUGCUUAACACAUGCAAGUCGAACGAUGAAGCCCAGCUUGCUGGGUGGAUUAGUGGCGAACGGGUGAGUAACACGUGAGCAACCUGCCCCUGACUCUGGGAUAAGCGCUGGAAACGGCGUCUAAUACUGGAUAUGUCCCGUCACCGCAUGGUGUGCGGGUGGAAAGAUUUUUCGAUUGGGGAUGGGCUCGCGGCCUAUCAGCUUGUUGGUGAGGUAAUGGCUCACCAAGGCGUCGACGGGUAGCCGGCCUGAGAGGGUGACCGGCCACACUGGGACUGAGACACGGCCCAGACUCCUACGGGAGGCAGCAGUGGGGAAUAUUGCACAAUGGGCGGAAGCCUGAUGCAGCAACGCCGCGUGAGGGAUGACGGCCUUCGGGUUGUAAACCUCUUUUAGCAGGGAAGAAGCGAAAGUGACGGUACCUGCAGAAAAAGCACCGGCUAACUACGUG
rnacentral:rRNA from 1 species